AUUGAACGCUGGCGGCAGGCCUAACACAUGCAAGUCGAACGGUAACAGGAAGACGCUUGCUUCUUUGCUGACGAGUGGCGGCCGGGUGAGUAAUGUCUGGGAAACUGCCUGAUGGAGGGGGAUAACUACUGGAAACGGUAGCUAAUACCGCAUAACGUCGCAAGACCAAAGAGGGGGACCUUCGGGCCUCUUGCCAUCGGGUGUGCCCAGAUGGGAUUAGCUAGUAGGUGGGGUAACGGCUCACCUAGGCGACGAUCCCUAGCUGGUCUGAGAGGAUGACCAGCCACACUGGAACUGAGACACGGUCCAGACUCCUACGGGAGGCAGCAGUGGGGAAUAUUGCACAAUGGGCGCAAGCCUGAUGCAGCCAUGCCGCGUGUAUGAAGAAGGCCUUCGGGUUGUAAAGUACUUUCAGCGGGGAGGAAGGGAGUAAAGUUAAUACCUUUGCUCAUUGACGUUACCCGCAGAAGAAGCACCGGCUAACUCCGUG
rnacentral:rRNA from 1 species